UUUUUUUUUUUUUUUAUAUUAAGGAAGACAUUUUGGAAGGAGAAUUUUGGCUUUGUGUCUGAUGAAAGAAAAAGGCAGUCUUUUUGCACACACAUUUAUUUGGUGAAAAUAGCAUUACUUUUCUUAGGCUUUUUUAAAAGUUAAAGCACUCACAUAUUCUAUUACUUUUAUAUUUGAUAUCUCUUUUUAUCCUUAAAAUCAUAAUUUCUCCAUAACAUCAAGCAGAGGUUAACUUAGAUGAGAAGUCAUCGCAAAAAUCACCAGCAUAAUUGCAAUUGUUAGAUUUUGCAGAAAUGUAGUACAAGGAUCAUAUGGAGAAGAAAAUGAUUGUGUUCUCUCAAAAGCCAUCAGUUAUUCAACUCAAAGUGAAUCUGAGAUACCUCAUUGUUAGACUAUUGACUUGACUUCCACAGCAAUGACUUGUUUUUGUGUGUUCCUGAUUUUGACAGCCUUUCAGGGAGAAAAAUUAUUUACCUCAAGGUAUACAAGUAAACAUAUAAACAAAAAUAUUUGUAUACUUCUGUACUGUGAAAAAUAAAUUGGUUUAUUGCUUGCUUGGUACUGCUGCCCAAUAGAAGUUCUCUCAGUUUCUUGGAAGAUUUUUGAAUCAGUUUCUAAAUAAAAUCUUCAGCAAGCUGCAUGUAGGUGAUCUAAGAUACGAUCUAGUUCACAAAUUCUUAUCAUGUAUCACCUUAUUGGGCAUAAGUUUAGCUGAUAGGCUGGAAAUAUUUUGAUGCUUUUAACAUAGGUGUAAUUAUUCUAAAUUGUAAGUGCAACAAAUGUGGCAAGAAAUAAUUACUUUGCUCACUUAAGUUAAAUCAAAUUAAUGUGGUUUAUCGAUUUUUGAAUUCUGUGUAAUUAAUAGGCCAGUUGGGUAAACUAUACAUUUGGCAUCAAUACCAGCAAUACAACAGGUAAAACACGAUACUGUACAUGUACAAAGCAUGAGUGUACCCCUACACAUCUCUAAGUGCUCUCCAAUAGUCCAGGAGGCUGUAACUGUACACACACAACUCUGUGCUUACAUGCACAUCCAAACUCCUGUCUCCUGGGGUUGCAAGUGUUCUGUCUUUGUGUGUGACCCACGCCUUUGCUUCUCCCCACAACCCACAGCGGGUGUGAAAGGCCCACUAGGCUCACACAGUGGUUCAAGGUGAGGUCCCCAGCAUGUGGCCACCUUGUCAUGCCAUGCCUCAUCUGGAGCACCAAUGCCUAUGCUGUCAAAUCAGGCAGAGACCCCAUUAGGCCCAGAAGAAGGUCAGGACACUGGUGAGAUGACUUGAGGCAGUGUCACACUGGGGUUGGAGUGCUGCUCUAUUACUUCUCUCCCCCACUGCGAAAUGUCGUGCCUCUUUUAUUCUUCCAGUCAAAAUGAUUUGUUUUUCAUAAGUCCCUUGCAAUUAUCUGAUUAUUGCUUAAUCUAAGUGAUGACAAUUUCAUGCAAAGCUUGUCAUUGGUUAUUUCCUCUUUAGGAACCUCUGGUUUGGAGCAACAUUGUCUCAGAAUAAUAUAUUCUAUUUACACACACUGUUAUACUUUACUCUCCUAUCCAUUGCUAUAAUUUGUUGUUAGCCUGAGCAUGUUAAAAAAGAGGAAUUUUUGCAGGUUCCUCUAUGGCAAAUGACCUAACAAGGUUUAAGGAUAAGAGCUUCCAAAUAAAGUAGAAAACUCUUAGGAAAGGAAACGUGUUAAUAACUGGAUGUGAUCUUGCACCCUAAUACUGUCUUGGGUCUAUUAGCAUGUCUAUGCCUUGAGAAAGAAGCAUAUGAAAGAGAAUUUAGUUAAGUUUCCUCUGACAAAGUAAACACUUUUUUACAAAAUAAAAAAAUAGUUAAAGAGGUAUGGCAAAAUAAGACAAGGUGGUUGUGUCUUUUACUGUGUGUCAUCUGUAUCCUGUCCAACUUGAUUCUUUAGCAGCAGCACCUGCAGAAACCAUAGAAGUGUAAUGUAUGCCCUUUACACAUGGCUGUAUGCCAAGCCGUAGGAUUUUGUUGUAAUUCUCCUUUCCUACACCUCUUACCAUAUUGAAUUUGUCCUUGGAAUGAACGACAUCAUUAGGAGUGAAGACUUAAUUAUAGCCACUAAGAGACAAUUUCAGAACUGUUGUUUAAUUUACUGCAAUUUUAAAGUGGAAGCUAGAUGGUAGUUUGGAACUUCAGCAGUUUUAAAACACUGACACAUAAGACACUUAGUCAAAGGUUUGUGUAGCACAAAUUCAUUCUCAAGGAGAAGUAAAAGCAGUAAGGACUCUCAGACUAAUUUUUUUAAAGCACCAGUGCAUAUGCCAAGGAGUAAUCUCACCAAAUCUUUUCAAUGUAGUGGAUUUUUAUAGUUUUUCUAACAAGUCAUUCUGACUGGCGUUUAUCUUGCUGAUCUUUAGACAUUUAUAGUAUGCAUAUCUACAUUGGAGAUGGUUAACUUUUAAGAGAAAGAUAUCCAUUUUAAGGUAUAACUCAUUCUUCUAUUUUCGCUCACUUCUUUACGUAAAAAUGAAUCUUAUGUUAGAUAAACUUGUUUUUCAUUCAUUACAAAAGGUGUCUAUGGAGAUUACCUCAGAUGUGGAUAUUUAGUCUUGUUAUAAUGAAUUCCAUUUCAGUUGCCUUAUAAACCAUUUGCUUCUAUUCAAAUGCAUGUGCAUGAGGUUUUUGACAGGUUUGUUUCUUAUAUCUGACAGUAUCUAAUUUAAUCUUAUUACUUUACCGUCUGUAGUUCUGGGCUCUCUUUUCUAGUCCCUAUACAUGUGAAUUUGAAAGUACAUAUCAUCUGCCAUACUCCUGAAAACAUGGUAAACUCAUGAUAACUCUGUGACAACUUUGCAUCCACAUUGAAGAGAAUUAAAAUAGUGUGGUUGUUUUUAAAAAUUGUUGUUGUUGUUUUUCACUUGAGAGCCUGCUGGGCAGUCAGAUACCACCAGGGAUUUUGAUUAAGUAAUUAAAAUAUAUUCCAAGUUCUCAAUUUCCCUUUAAAUACGAAAGGUAGGGUGGCAUAAAACAAUGUACUUGUUCCUUGUAACAGAGUAAAAUUUCCAGACCGCAGUUGGGUGAGGAUGUGUUUGUCCAUUUGAAAUUAGUGAAUAAUCCUUAGCAAUUUUAGGGAACAUUGUCCCUAUAAAUGGAUGAUUUCUAAUUCUAAAAUAUUCAACACAGUGUAAAAAAAUCAAAUCAAAUCAAAUCCCUGUGGAUUGGAAAUGAAGAGUUGAAUUUUAACUGACACACACAAUGCGUGUUACCUUCUGUAGGUAAGAUUAGGCUGAUAAACGUGCUUCAGGUUUUGUCAUAUUUCACAUAAUUUUCUCAUUCAGUCAUUUAAUCCUACAAAGAAAAGAAAAUACAUUUCUACUUAGAAGAAAAACACUCUUUUAACAGCUGACCUUGCAUUAAAUUGUUGGUUUCUGUAAGUGAACAUUACUGUUGGUUUGGCAGUGGUAGUUUGUUUUGAGUUUCCUCUGGUAGCAAACUUGCACAGAAAUGGCCUUCCCAGCCUUCCUGACAGUUUCUAUGUGGGCAUGCCAGAUAAGAAAGUAUGUAAAAUCAGAUCAUGAGGCCCAUGAAAGAAAUGUUAUAAUGCAGAUUACAGAAUUUUUCUAGUUGGUUUAUUUGUUUCAGUAUGUUUUUUAUAACAGGACACUGCACUAUCUCUGGGUUAUGAGACUAGAUUCAGCCAGCAAAUGAAUAAGGUGGGGAAAUAUGGACCUCUUUUCAUGCUUUACCUCAGAUUAAAAGACAAAAAAGUAUGUUUCAUGGCUUUACAUUGCAUUUUGUCUUCUCUAUAAUUUUCUUCACUUGGCAUACUGAGAUCCUGAACACUACCUGCUGGAAUUGUAGAAAGUCUGACAUCAGAAUUUCAAAGGAAAUAGAGUUCUCUAGUAGAAACAUGUGCUACCUCUGUAGCUGGGGAGAUGGGUAUGAAUGGGGAGUGAAAUGUUGGAUCCUUCUUCAGUUAAGUUGGUGCCCCUGCCCUGCUUAGCAUAAUGGUUACAUAUAAUAAAGUUUAAAUAAAGUUGCUGGCUAC
ensembl:lncRNA